UAGUGUCCUUUUCCAAAUUUUCUGUUGAAGCUGUUACUGUUUGUAGCCAAAAAUUACUUCUUCUCCACCCCCAUUUCAGCACUGUUUUAUCUAUGCUCUUCCAGCACAACUAGCUGAAACAACUCUAAUCACCUAUUUUUACUGUUUGAGUUAGGGAGUGUUCACAGGACUCAUUUUGCCAGAAGAGCUGGAAUGCUUGCAGAAAGGGAAAAGGGAAAGGGAAAGCGAUACAAUUUCAGAGCUGCAAAAUAGCAGCUGAACACGAUAAUAUCAUCAGCUGGCAGAGGUGGCUGCACACUGAGCAUGUGUCUAUAGCCUAAAAGUACUGUUUUGUUUGGGGAUUUGUUUGUUUGUUGGUUGGAGUUUUGGUUUUUGAUGACUGCAGGAUCACUCUAACUGCUAAUACAAUUAAGAAAGAAAUUUCAGAAAAAAGAAUACUAAGUCCUCUGGUUUUUAAUUCCCUAAUGGGUUUUGGGAAGAAGUAGUUUGUGGCAACCAAGGAAGACAAACCUGAGUCCUUUGCUGCAUCCUUCCUCUUAUUUAAGAAGAUUUGUGAUUCUACAUCUAAAUCCAACAACUUUCCAUGUGGCCCUGGAUUCUCUCCACACCCUCCAAGAAGGGGGAUAUCUGAGUGAUUAAAGCAUCUGGGUCAUUCAUUCAAGUACUUCUGCAGACAUGAAUAGAAGGCCAUGCUUCAUCCUCCUGUAAAUGGGUCAUGACUAUUCAGACAAGAGUCUCAAAGGCAACCUGAAGAGAUGCUAACCAAAACAUAUGAAAAAUUUAACACACCUGAUGCAACUGAUCUCCUGGGCUCCAAGAAAAAAGUGAGGAUGUUUUCUUCAAAAUUAAUAUAUAUAUUUCUACAAAUACAGCUCAGUCAAAGCCAACCCAUGGUCAAUAGACUAUCCCAGGGUCUCACUGUCUUCAUGGCUGAAAACUUUCUUCUACUUUUCAAAUUAAAUUUAUUCAUUCUCAGUAAUUUUUUUGUUCUUUGGACAAAAUUUUUCUUCAGACUGCUCUUGCUCUUCACUGGUGUGUAGCCUAGUUCCCAUUUAUAGAUCGUAGCCUUGUUCCCUCAUCCUUAAUUGUGUUAAAAUUAACAAGCCAAGCUGUCUUGAUGUAAGACAAGCACUUCCAUUUCCCAGAUCACUGUUAGGGAACAAAGCAAUGAACAAGAAAUGAUUGCUUAUUGGCUUUUUAAAAAUAGGAAUUAGUGACAUUAGAAGAAUUAAAAAGUAUCGGUUUCCAAAAAAGCAAAAGCUGAUGUUUCUCCCACAUCUUGUGUCUGCAGAAAUCCCUGCUGCUGCUGCAGACAUGCUGAAAGCAAGCUGAAAGCAGUGAGUAGAAGAAGGUAUGGCAGGAAAUCCAGCAGAGGAAACAGUUGUUGGAAGAAAGCAAAAUCAGAGAUAAUGCCUCUUGCUCAGGAAGUUUUAAAUUGAAAUUUGCUGAAGACUGACAGUGUUUUGGGGAACUGUUACUCAUACUAUCUUACACUCUUUGUUAAGCUAAAAGAUUAACAAAGCUCUUGCUCACCAUCAGAAACACUCUAUUGCACUGCAAAUGCCUUUAGUCUGAUUCUUUAUGGCUUUUCUUAUCUUAACUAACAGUUUUUUACUGAAUCUCUCCCAGUCUGAGUGCAUUACUUUUGUAGCAGUUUAACUAGCACGGCAGUCAGUACUCCAGGUGAGUUUUCAGGGAGUCUAGUACUAUUGAAUUCUUCACUCUUCCCCAGUGAAUAUAUCUUCCCUGACACCACACAGACUUGUGUUUGACUCAUGAGUUCCCUGAUCAGCUGCCACGUCUGUGUCCUCUUUCUCCAAUCAAGUCACGUUCCCAGCUAUUUCAGAAUGGCCAAAACAAGGUGAAAUUUGCUGCAAGCACAGAUGUGUCGGCACAUGGACAUCCAGCAGCCAGGGAUGGUGUGAUGUCUCAGCUUCUCUGUGGAAUACUUGUCUUGCACAGAGUUUGUCAAGGACACAAUCACCCCUCUAGAUUGCUCAACACAGUGUGACCAAGACCUGAGGAGAGGCUCUGAGAGAGAAAAUUCUCCUCUGCUCAAUCCCAUGCUUCUGCAAGGGAGCUGCCUUCAAAUAAAGACAUUGCUGCUGCUGAGUGCUGUUCUGCAGGAAGUUUUGGGCUGAAAAGGCCUCCAUCUGUUAAGAUUUUUCCCAUACUGUUUCUGGGUGUUAUCUAGAUGGAGGGGAGACAUGGAGGAAUCCCAUAUUACACACAGGAGAACAGUCUUGGCCUCUCUGUUACAGCCACCUGAGAUUUUUAAAGUAAUUGAUACUAUUCUAAAACAAACAAAUAAAUGGAAGGAAUAUACUUUUGAGCUUUCUUAUAGAUGAGAUAGAAAAAAAAAUGUGUUCCUCAGAAAUGCCACACUAUAUUCAAUCACAUUUAAGAACAGGAAAUCAGCCAGUGGCCUCCUCACUUUCAGCUAAAUGUGUACACAGCUCCUGUUGAACAGGCUUUUAAACCUAGACAGAAUAACAACCUUGAAUUCAGGAGAACAACUAUUUCUAUUAAUCACUGUAAUAAAAACCUGCAAACUUGGCAACACUGUUUCACACAAAUGCCUCCUCAAUACACACUGGCAUCACCACCCCCAGUAUUACUCAGACAUUAUUAUUUUAUCAUUGCAGUGUCUCUUAAACAGGCAUCUUCUUAUUGCCUCACAGAGGAAACUAAUUAAUCCAAGUAUGAAUGUUCUUGAAACAAAUAUUUUAAAAUAAAUAUUGGCUCAGGUGGCCCUCUUUGUCCUAGAAGUUAACUCCUGUUUGGAAAAAUAAAAAAACUGAGUAUCAUAAAUAAGCCUUUAAUUUGGGUUUAAUGGAGGCCAUUGUUUUGGGCUGAUGCAUUCAUCUAUUAAAGAGAAACUUACACAGAUUUCAAACAGAGAAAUUCUUCUGUCACGUAGUUAAUAAAAAUUAAUAAUUAUUUCCUUAUCAAAUAAAUUUUGUGGGGAAUUCACACAUAACAAGAUGACUGGAAGAUGUAUUCAAAGAUGAAUUGGGUGGAUGGCUAUCCAGAAAUGCAGUUUUGGUCACUGCACAUGAAGUAAGUAAAUUCACAUUUGAGGGUAAAUUCUGAAACUUGAAUUCUGAGCACUUUGCUUGUAAAUCCCAUUGCCUAACACAUAAAACUAAAAUGAAAUGCAUGAAGUGCAACUCUUUGAAGGACUAAGCAUAUUCAAUUCCUUCUAAGUUGAGCUACCAUUUACAGCAAUCAUUCUUCUAGAAGGAGACUAGUUUGGAGUCACCUUCCUCAUCCUUGUUGCUCCUUAAAGGAUUCUUUUAAUUCAAGGGAAAUUUCAUGGAUUUCAAUAGUAAUGCCACUAGAGCUGCUAUUAUCUCUCUGAGCAGUAAUACAAGCAAAUACAGCCACUGCAAAAAUAGAAAAAUAAUUCCUACACGCAUCUCAUGCUUGUUAAAUCUUAUCGUGGCAUGCUGUGAUUAAUCUCUUGCAGAGAGUUUUUUUAAUUCUUAUUUAAGAAUAAAUAUCUGCAUUUCUUCAUAGUAAAUAAAUAAGCUUUUGUACCACCUCACUUGUGACAGAAAUGAAAAAGAAGCCAUGAAGUGAUAACAGUUAGUUUUGUUCCUCUACAGAUCAGACGUUUCAGAAACCCCAUGCUAGAUGAGCUGACCAUUCUUCUCACUCUGUAUUUUUGUUUGAUGGUUAAAUUUAUGUACAGAUUAGUUUCCAAUGGCUUUUGAUCACAUUUUAAGGACUAGAUCUAAAGCUGUUUGAGUGCAUACAGGUCUUGAUAUAUGGGAUGUGUUUUUUAAUAAAUAUCUUCCUGCAAGCA